rnacentral:rRNA from 1 species
GUGAGGAAUAUUGCGCAAUGGAGGCAACUCUGACGCAGCCAUGCCGCGUGUGUGAAGAAGGUCUUCGGAUUGUAAAGCACUUUAAGUUGGGAGGAAGGGCAGUAAGUUAAUACCUUGCUGUUUUGACGUUACCGACAGAAUAAGCACCGGCUAACUUCGUGCCAGCAGCCGCGGUAAUACGAAGGGUGCAAGCGUUAAUCGGAAUUACUGGGCGUAAAGCGCGCGUAGGUGGUUUUGUAAGUUGGAGGUGAAAUCCCCGGGCUUAACCUGGGAACUGCCUCCAAAACUGCAUGACUAGAGUACGGUAGAGGGUAGUGGAAUUUCCUGUGUAGCGGUGAAAUGCGUAGAUAUAGGAAGGAACACCAGUGGCGAAGGCGACUACCUGGACUGAUACUGACACUGAGGUGCGAAAGCGUGGGGAGCAAACAGGAUUAGAUACCCCAGUAGUCC